rnacentral:lncRNA from 1 species
AUUGAAAUGAGGAUAAUUGUGUGCUGAAAGUUGUGAGGGCGUAGUAUUACAGUUGGAGAUUAUGAUGGUAAAUAUAUUGGUGGAAAUAGCACUUAUUGGUAUGACUGAAUUGCUGUAAGGAAGAGAUCGAUAAGAUGAAGGAGGAGAUUAUAGUUUCUUUGUGUAUUCAGAUAUUGAAAAUAGAGACGAUACAUUCAGGAGGUAAUUGAUUGUGUAAUCCUAACGUGAACGCUUAAGCAACUAGUCAUUCCUCGUGUUUGAAUCCUCCUGUAUGGAUUUAUUUCCAUUAAAUUAAUUUGGAAUAAGUAAAACGA